rnacentral:RNase_P_RNA from 1 species
GCAAUUAGGAAAGUCCGAGCACAGCAGGGCAGAGUGCGAGAUAACGUCUCGUGGAGGCGACUCCAAGGAUAGUGCAACAGAAAUAGACCACCACUAAUUAAGCUGUAUUGUGUUUUUAGAUUUGGAAAAUAUCCAACAUCUUACCUCCUAUUUUUUCGCAAUACAGGCGCAGUGGAAAGGGUGGAAAGGUGGUGUAAGAGACCACCGGUGCAUUAGAGAUAGUGCACGCUCUGUAAACCCCACUUUGUGCAAGAUAAGGGAGAGUUAAAAAGGUUUGCCCGGCCUUCUUCCGUCAUACAUCGCUGGAACAUAUUGGCAACAAUAUGUCUAGAUAGAUGACCGUCCAUGACAGAACUCGGCUUACAGACUAGUC